CUGCUGCGACCCUCUCCCCGGGACAUUUCACCUUGUUCGACACCCUACUGCUGCUUCGGCAGCGUGGCGAAGACAUGAAACGAGUUGGGUGUCGGCCAUGUCCUGCACGAGAGUCGUGACGGAUGCACUGACAUCACAUAGGGCACCGUUCCCGAGCCGCACGACGCUCUUGCGACCAACUCAUCAUUUAGCGGCAGUCGCCCUGGCCCUUGGCGAAGUUCUUCGCGACGCAGUCGCCUCUGAAGCUGUGGUCCUUUGCUGCAUCCUACUGCAUUGCCUGGAAGCCGCAGAACAAGGAGCCGGUACGAACCUAGUUCACGCCCCGCCCCCGUCGCGGCCGUGCGUGGACUUCACGCCUUGAUGAAGAGGCGUGGCGUGACAGUGAUGGAUCGACGACCCGAUUCGCAGUGGCCCAGAAAGCGAGCCCCAGGCGGUGGCCGUGCUAGCGAUCGUGGUGAUGACCGUCUGUGCGCGCACCGUCGCUCGCUCUGCUUCGAUGGAGUGCACUUUCUGCAGCGCGUUGCCGAAGAGGAGGAAUGACAUUGUACGCGCCGGCACACGUUUCGUUGCUCUCGUCGCAGUCGCGAUGCAUGCUGUCCAUCCCCCCUCCUCCCCCGCACGACGCGGAGUGCAGUCGUGCUGGACACAGCGCGCAAAAGAAGGCCGCCACGGACGGCGAUGGGCGUCGGUGCAGAUGGAGGUGCUCUUCUCUUUCGAUGCUCGGGGGUUGUGCAUCUCUGUCACGGCGUCGUCAUCUGCGCGAUCAGCUCUGCCGAGGGGAUCUCCGACCGAAAUCGUAAGGAAGGGAAAGAGCGGGCACUAAACCACCGCUUUUCCACGUUUCGUGAAGGAGCCUCAACCCGCUCCAUCUCUCUCUCUGCGUGUGUGUGUGUCUUUCUCUCGCAGGCAGCUGCGGAUGCUCUGCCUGCGCCCACAUGAUAGAUGCGGGUCCCGUCGCACACCACAAGCACACGCAUCAUCAUGCGUGCAACCCUUCUCCCCAUCUUCUCGCCCCCCUUUUCUUCCGUCUUGUUUGGCUUUCCGCUUUUGGUGGCGUUGCUGGCUUGGCGCGCCGCUGAGCGCGCGACGCCACAACACUCUUCAUUCUCCACCCACAUCUAUUGUGAUCUUCGGCUUCUUCCGACCCUCCCUCCCGUCUGCCUCUGUGUACGGCACACAG
rnacentral:misc_RNA from 1 species